CCUACGGGAGGCAGCAGUAGGGAAUUUUUCACAAUGGGCGAAAGCCUGAUGGAGCAACGCCGCGUGCAGGAUGAAGGCCUUCGGGUUGUAAACUGCUGUUAUAAGCGAGAAAUAUGAUGGUAACUUAUGAAUAAGGCUCGGCUAACUACGUGCCAGCAGCCGCGGUCAUACGUAGGAUCCGAGCAUUAUCCGGAGUGACUGGGUGUAAAGAGUUGCGUAGGUGGAAUAAUAAGUAGCUAGUGAAAUCUGGUGGCUCAACCAUUCAGACUAUUAGCUAAACUGUUAAGCUCGAGACCGUUAGGGGUAACUGGAAUUUCUAGUGUAGGAGUGAAAUCCGUAGAUAUUAGAAGGAACACCAAUAGCGUAGGCAGGUUGCUGGGACGGUUCUGACACUAAGGCACGAAAGCGUAGGGAGCAAACGGGAUUAGAUACCCGAGUAGUC
rnacentral:rRNA from 1 species